CGCGCUGCCCGCGCCCCGCCGGGCCGGGCCGGGCCGAGCCGAGCCGGGCGCGCCGCUGUGAGCGCCGGCAGUGCCGCCGCGCCGGGCCGGGCCGGGCCGGGCCAUGGCCACCUGGCGGCGGGACGGGCGGGUGACCGGCCUGCAGCGGCUGUGCUGCGCCGGGCUGGCGGGCGCGCUGAGCCUCAGCCUGACGGCGCCGCUGGAGCUGCUGACGGUGCUGGCGCAGGUGGGCACCUGGCACUGCCGGCGGGGGCUGCGCGGCGCCGGGCACAGCCUGUGCCGCGCCGAGGGCGUGCGGGCCCUCUGGAAGGGGAACCUGACCGCCUGCCUGCGCCUCUUCCCCUACAGCGCGCUGCAGCUCGCCGCCUCCCGCCGGCUUGUUAUCCUUUUCACGGAUGAGCUGGGUCAUAUUUCCCACUGGAGAGCCAUCAUGGCAGGCAGCCUGGCUGGCAUGGUCGCAACCGUCGUGACUCACCCCACUGACGUAAUUAAAACACGGCUCAUCGUGCAAAACCGGCUGGAACCGUCUUACAAAGGAAUUCUUCAUGCUUUUUACAAAAUUUAUCACCAAGAGGGAUUCCUUGCACUCUACCGUGGUGUUUCACCAGCUAUAUUAGGUGCGGUCCCGUUUUCUGCAGGCUCGUUCUUUGUUUACAUCAAUCUGGACAAAAUCUGGCGAGAACCCAUAGUUCAUUUCACUCCUCUCCAGAACUUCAUAAACGGCUGUGUCACAGCUGGUGUGGCACAGACGCUUUCUUUCCCCUUUGAGACUGUCAAGAGGAAGAUGCAGCAAUUCCAUCAAAGUCUCACAGUUCAGAAUGGGCAAACCUGCUGUCAAGUACAGGCAUUCGGUUCACUUGGUGGCAGGCACAGAGUCCCUGGCUUCCCCACUACGGAGCCGUUGAUGUGCAUUUCACUGGCAUGGCCGACUGUUUCCGACAAACGGUGAAGAACAAAGGUGUGCUGGGGCUCUGGAGUGGGCUCACACCCAGCCUGCUCAAGAUUGUCCCAUACUUUGGUGUUAUGUUUAGCACCUUUGAAUUCUGCAAGCGGGUCUGUCUGUACAGAAACGGGUAUAUUGAAUCUCCUUUAAAUUACAAGCUAACUCCUGGCGUGGACCAGAGUUUACAGCCACAAGAACUGAGAGAAUUAAAGCUCCUCCGAAGGGAAAAUUUUGAGCCAAGGAAAUCAGCUCUUGAAAACUGACAUCAGAGUGUCCAUUGCAGAUGUACACAAUACCUUUCUUAAGGAACUUUGCAAGAAAGACACACCGAGCUACAGGUACCAGCAUCUCAGCAGAUUGCGUGGUUUUAGUACUGAGACACCGGUGCCAGGAAUGAAAACACAAAAGUAUCUCAUUUGCUGAAUGGAUAUGAACUAUGGGAAUAGCAACCAUACACUGGAGAGAUGUGACUAGUUUGAACUGUUGGAACUUGAAAUGAUGUUAUUCUAGGUGCUUUUCAAUACUGAAUAGCCAUUUUGAGAUUCAACCACUUGCAGAAAGGUAAGACAACUGAGAUGAGAGUAUAAAUUUUAUUUUCAAAAAUAAUAAUAAAAUUCAUUUUUUCUUAAGUAAUCUGAGCUACCGAGUUAGAAAAAAAAAAUAUAGACUAGAAAACAUACAAAAUGCAAGAAUUUCAACUGAAAUAUCCUUUUUUGUUGUUUGUUUUAGCGAUACUGUGUGGACAUGGCAUUCUGCAGAUGCCGAGUUAGUCUCAGUUCAGUCACACUCCAGAAUCUACUCUUCAGUUUUUGAGACUUACUUGAGAAUAAUAAUUUUGUAUGACUCUUUAGCGUAGAGGUGAAAAUAUGCUGCUGCAACUGUGCUUUUGCUAAGAGAGGAUUGUGCAGAAUGAACUGUGAUACACUGAACGACAAUCCUGCAAACCCAAGCACAUACGAGAAAAUGUGUCCCCCUUUCUUCUGUGUUGUUACUGCAUAUGUGUGAAUUAUUUCAGGCUUUGAAAAAUAGUUUUCCUGAAGUUCUCUAACUGAAGUAUUUCCUGAAAAAUGCAGUUCUUAAAUGUGUCAUAUUCCAGAGUCACAAGCCUUGUCAUGUUGUUUUGAUAUUCUCAAAACUCUAUUUUUAUGUGAAACUGCUUUUUAGUUCCCUUGCACAGACCCAGUCCUACUGUGCUGCUCAGAGCUUGCCAGCAGAAUAGCACCUUGCACACAACCUGUGAUUUUUACACUUUAACUUCUGUGAUCCAGGAGCCACAGACAGUUUAUAUGGAUGGGAACCUCUCUGCAAGACGACAAGGUUAUUGCCAGUGCCAAAGCAACCGAUACACCUCUGACCAGUCUAGAGAGUUUCUGGACAAACCUGUGGUGUUGCUCCAGUCCCUUUGUAGGAGUACAGCUGUGAAACAGCCCCAUCCUUGUGCCUUCUGAUAGAAAACCUUAAACCCCGUGUUCACGUGGGGAGGCAGCUCUGCCCUCUGCGGCGCGUCCCACCAGCCUUGGGCUGAACCACGGCAGCUCCUCUGCACGCCGGCUCUGCUCCUGCCCUCCUGCAGCAGCCUGCGCUCAGAACAGUGUUUGCCUGCUGGUUUGCACAGCUUUUUGUGCAUGGUUUUUGUACCGCGGACGUCCCUGCUGGGUGGAAAGGAGUCAAUCUCAGAAACUGCUUGGUGAGGCCAGGUCACGGCGGGAUGAGGCGAUGGCAGAUCGGCACAGCAACAGUCUGUGACUGAGAGAUUUACAGAAAGAGCAAGAUGCACUCUGCAGCUGAGGUCUUGCAGUAUGUCUCUUAAUGGGCUCAGUUCUGCUCAGUGGUACUUCACACUGGUUUUCUUCUCAGAGAAGAAACAAGCACUGAUAGCAAAAAAAUUAAGAUGGUAGAGAGCAGAUCUGGUGUCUCAUGCAUCACACCGAGGCUGCAAGUGCUUAUGGCUCUGUAAUCAACCUGUAGUGAAAAUGUUUCUCCGUACCUCAGUUUCCCCAUCUGCACAGUGCAGGUAAUAAUACUGAGACUUAUUUGAGAUGUAUGAAUAAGGCGAUGUGACUUGUGAGUGCGUUGGGGAGGAACGGAUUGUAAAGAGUGCCCUUACCUUGUCCAAGCGUACCUGUAUGUUUUUUACUAAUGCUGUAUUUCUAAAUAGAUUUUAAGAUUGAGUGAUGGGUGCAUAUGAAUGUCUGAUCAGCUCUUCAAACCUGGCAAGCGUCACGUGAGUCAAAAAGGUACCUCUGACUUGUUUCUGAUAUGCUAAUAACACCUUUGUAUUGUAAUAUACUCCUACGGCCUAUAAAUCACUUACCUUUUGUCAGCCAAGCCUCUACUUUGCGUAAUCACAUUCAUGCGUUGAGAAAUCCCCCGAAAGGUAAGAGAGCACUGAAACAAAGUGCCUCAGCAGUGGGUCACUGGUGUGUAAAACGGUGUAAGAUCACAAAGAACCAGUUAAGAGCAAGGCUGGAUCGCAGAGACACCUCUUACGUGGCUGAACUGUCGUUCAGGUGACAUUUGGUUGCAAUCACACAAUAAAGGUGGUAGGUGGUA